UCAUGUGCCUGUGAACAGAAAGGGGGAGCAGGACACCAAGAACGAAGCCUUCCGGCACGGCUGAAUGGUGGGAUCCCUGCGAGACUGAAUGCUCACAGCCUCAAGAUAAGAAUACAACGAUGAAACCGAAAGGUAAACGUGCCGCUCCCGAAGAGGAUCGUUACUCCGUACAGAGCACAAUUAACCUGGGCAACUUACUGGCAUGAGGCACUGCGGAGGAGCGGCAGCUGCAGUGCCUGCCUGUUACGAGCGGUUCCUCCAGGUGCUCGGCGUUUCUGAAAGCCGGACGCGUUUCAGUUGCCUGAGUACAGCCAGGAUCCUACUCCGAGGUUUGAAAAGCUCAACUACAGAAAUGUCCAAGUUACAUUUUCAUAUGAUAAAGUGUGUAUAAGCUUUCUCUUUAAGGGGAUAGACCAGCUACUAAAUCUGGAACCAAAAAAGACACUGGUGUCCUCCUGGAAGUUUCUGUGCUGCACACAUACGAUUGCACGCGUUCUC